GAACGCUGGCGGCGUGCCUAAUACAUGCAAGUCGAGCGAACAGACGAGGAGCUUGCUCCUCUGACGUUAGCGGCGGACGGGUGAGUAACACGUGGAUAACCUACCUAUAAGACUGGGAUAACUUCGGGAAACCGGAGCUAAUACCGGAUAAUAUAUUGAACCGCAUGGUUCAAUAGUGAAAGACGGUUUUGCUGUCACUUAUAGAUGGAUCCGCGCCGCAUUAGCUAGUUGGUAAGGUAACGGCUUACCAAGGCAACGAUGCGUAGCCGACCUGAGAGGGUGAUCGGCCACACUGGAACUGAGACACGGUCCAGACUCCUACGGGAGGCAGCAGUAGGGAAUCUUCCGCAAAGGGCGAAAGCCUGACGGAGCAACGCCGCGUGAGUGAUGAAGGUCUUCGGAUCGUAAAACUCUGUUAUUAGGGAAGAACAAAUGUGUAAGUAACUAUGCACGUCUUGACGGUACCUAAUCAGAAAGCCACGGCUAACUACGUG
rnacentral:rRNA from 1 species